GACGAACGCUGGCGGCGUGCUUAACACAUGCAAGUCGAACGGAAAGGCCCUGCUUUUGUGGGGUGCUCGAGUGGCGAACGGGUGAGUAACACGUGAGUAACCUGCCCUUGACUUUGGGGUAACUUCAGGAAACUGGGGCUAAUACCGGAUAGGAGCUCCUGCUGCAUGGUGGGGGUUGGAAAGUUUCGGCGGUUGGGGAUGGACUCGCGGCUUAUCAGCUUGUUGGUGGGGUAGUGGCUUACCAAGGCUUUGACGGGUAGCCGGCCUGAGAGGGUGACCGGCCACAUUGGGACUGAGAUACGGCCCAGACUCCUACGGGAGGCAGCAGUGGGGAAUAUUGCACAAUGGGCGGAAGCCUGAUGCAGCAACGCCGCGUGCGGGAUGACGGCCUUCGGGUUGUAGACCGCUUUCGCCUGUGACGAAGCGUGAGUGACGGUAAUGGGUAAAGAAGCACCGGCUAACUACGUG
rnacentral:rRNA from 1 species